GUUGUAUGGUUAAGUGACUAAGCGUACACGGUGGAUGCCUUGGCAGUCAGAGGCGAUGAAAGACGUAGUAACUUGCGAUAAGCCCAGAUUAGGUAGUAACAACCAUUUGAGUCUGGGAUUUCUGAAUGGGGAAACCCACGUGCAUAAGCACGUAUCCUUACCUGAAUACAUAGGGUAAGGAGGCGAACCGGGGGAACUGAAACAUCUAAGUACCCCGAGGAAAAGAAAUCAACCGAGAUUCCGAAAGUAGCGGCGAGCGAAAUUGGACUAGCCCUUAAGCUUUACACGCGUUAGACGAACGGUCUGGAAAGUCCGACGAUACAGGGUGAUAGUCCCGUAGUUGACGACGUGUGUUCAGUGAAAUCGAGUAGGGCGGGACACGUGAUAUCCUGUCUGAAUAUGGGGGGACCAUCCUCCAAGGCUAAAUACUACUGACUGACCGAUAGUGAACCAGUACCGUGAGGGAAAGGCGAAAAGAACCCCUGUGAGGGGAGUGAAAUAGAACCUGAAACCGUGUACGUACAAGCAGUAGGAGCAGGCUUUGUCCUGUGACUGCGUACCUUUUGUAUAAUGGGUCAGCGACUUAUAUUCAGUGGCAAGGUUAACCAUCUAGGGGAGCCGUAGGGAAACCGAGUCUUAACUGGGCGUUCAGUCUCUGGAUAUAGACCCGAAACCAGGUGAUCUAGCCAUGGGCAGGUUGAAGGUUGAGUAACAUCAACUGGAGGACCGAACCGACUAAUGUUGAAAAAUUAGCGGAUGACUUGUGGCUAGGGGUGAAAGGCCAAUCAAACCUGGAGAUAGCUGGUUCUCCCCGAAAGCUAUUUAGGUAGCGCCUCGGACGAAUACUACUGGGGGUAGAGCACUGUUAAGGCUAGGGGGUCAUCCCGACUUACCAACCCUUUGCAAACUCCGAAUACCAGUAAGUACUAUCCGGGAGACACACGGCGGGUGCUAACGUCCGUCGUGGAGAGGGAAACAACCCAGACCGCCAGCUAAGGUCCCAAAUUACUACUAAGUGGGAAACGAUGUGGGAAGGCUCAGACAGCCAGGAUGUUGGCUUAGAAGCAGCCAUCAUUUAAAGAAAGCGUAAUAGCUCACUGGUCGAGUCGGCCUGCGCGGAAGAUGUAACGGGGCUAAGUAGUAAACCGAAGCUGCGGCAAUGUGCUUUUGCACAUUGGGUAGGGGAGCGUUCUGUAAGCGGUUGAAGGUGUGUGGUAACGCAUGCUGGACGUAUCAGAAGUGCGAAUGCUGACAUGAGUAACGAUAAAGGGGGUGAAAAACCUCCUCGCCGGAAGACCAAGGGUUCCUGUCCAACGUUAAUCGGGGCAGGGUAAGUCGACCCCUAAGGCGAGGCCGAAAGGCGUAGUCGAUGGGAAACGGGUUAAUAUUCCCGUACUUCUUACAAUUGCGAUGGGGGGACGGAGAAGGCUAGGUGGGCCUGGCGACGGUUGUCCAGGUUCAAGUGCGUAGGCUUAAGAGUUAGGUAAAUCCGGCUCUUUUUAAGGCUGAGACACGACGUCGAGCACCUACGGGUGUGAAGUCAUUGAUGCCAUGCUUCCAGGAAAAGCCUCUAAGCUUCAGAUUGUAAGGAAUCGUACCCCAAACCGACACAGGUGGUCGGGUAGAGAAUACCAAGGCGCUUGAGAGAACUCGGGUGAAGGAACUAGGCAAAAUGGUACCGUAACUUCGGGAGAAGGUACGCUCUUGACGGUGAAGUCCCUCGCGGAUGGAGCUAUUGAGAGUCGCAGAUACCAGGUGGCUGCAACUGUUUAUUAAAAACACAGCACUGUGCAAAAUCGUAAGAUGACGUAUACGGUGUGACGCCUGCCCGGUGCCGGAAGGUUAAUUGAUGGGGUUAGACUUCGGUCGAAGCUCUUGAUCGAAGCCCCGGUAAACGGCGGCCGUAACUAUAACGGUCCUAAGGUAGCGAAAUUCCUUGUCGGGUAAGUUCCGACCUGCACGAAUGGCGUAAUGAUGGCCACGCUGUCUCCACCCGAGACUCAGUGAAAUUGAAAUCGCUGUGAAGAUGCAGUGUACCCGCGGCUAGACGGAAAGACCCCGUGAACCUUUACUACAGCUUGGCACUGAACAUUGACCCUACAUGUGUAGGAUAGGUGGGAGGCUUUGAAGCACGUACGCCAGUAUGUGUGGAGCCGUCCUUGAAAUACCACCCUUGUAGUGUUGAUGUUCUAACGUCGACCCCUUAUCGGGGUUGCGGACAGUGCCUGGUGGGUAGUUUGACUGGGGCGGUCUCCUCCCAAAGAGUAACGGAGGAGCACGAAGGUGGGCUAAUCACGGUUGGACAUCGUGAGGUUAGUGCAAUGGCAUAAGCCCGCUUGACUGCGAGAAUGACAAUUCGAGCAGGUGCGAAAGCAGGUCAUAGUGAUCCGGUGGUUCUGAAUGGAAGGGCCAUCGCUCAACGGAUAAAAGGUACUCCGGGGAUAACAGGCUGAUACCGCCCAAGAGUUCAUAUCGACGGCGGUGUUUGGCACCUCGAUGUCGGCUCAUCACAUCCUGGGGCUGAAGUCGGUCCCAAGGGUAUGGCUGUUCGCCAUUUAAAGUGGUACGCGAGCUGGGUUUAGAACGUCGUGAGACAGUUCGGUCCCUAUCUGCCGUGGGCGUUGGAAGAUUGAAGGGGGCUGCUCCUAGUACGAGAGGACCGGAGUGGACGAACCUCUGGUGUUCGGGUUGUGUCGCCAGACGCAUUGCCCGGUAGCUAAGUUCGGAAUCGAUAACCGCUGAAAGCAUCUAAGCGGGAAGCGAGCCCUGAGAUGAGUCUUCCCUGAUACUUUAAGUAUCCUAAAGGGUUGUCGGAGACUACGACGUUGAUAGGUCAGGUGUGUAAGUGCUGUGAGGCAUUGAGCUAACUGAUACUAAUUGCCCGUGAGGCUUAACCAUACAACACCCAAGGGGUUU
rnacentral:rRNA from 1 species